GUUUUUAAUCUGUGUGGUUUUUAUCCCACUUAGAAACUCCCAUUAAGACUGAAGCAGAUGUUCUGGCGGAAGACCAGGUUCUUCAUAGUGAUACUCCUAAGGGACCAAAUCAAGAUGUUAAACCAACUGUUAGUAAUUCCUCAGAAGCCAGAAGCCAAAAGAAAAGUUUCAAAAAGACAAACCCUAAGAGGAAGAAAGAUUGCCACAAUUAUCAUGCUUUAUUUGAACCAAGAACACAUCAUCCAUAUCUCCUGGAAAUGCUUUUAGCUCCAGACAUUCGACAUGAAAGAAAUGUGAUUUUGCAGUGUGUUCGGUACAUCAUCAAAAAAGACUUUUUUGGACUUAAUAAUAAUUCUAUGAAAACUGAAGAUGUGUAGGUGUCUGUUGUUUCAGCACUCAUAAUUGAAGCAUUUAAAAUAAUGCCAUGUUCAAGUUAGUGGAGGAAAACUUCUUUUUAAACUGGAUUAGUCAUUGAAUUGUAAGCUUCAUAUGAUACUGUGUUGGAUUUUUGAUUCUUUUCUUUGAAUCUGUGUAAAUAAAUACACAAUUGAUUUUUAA